AAGAUGGCAGAAGAGCAACCCGCGAGCCACUGCUGUGUCUGUGCGCAUCAACUACAGACUGCAAGCUCAAUGAGUCCCUGUUUUGAAACAAGAGAAUGAAUGAAAGCGUUGAGUUCAGCAGCCAUGAGAUUCCCUACCGUCACAGCUCACAGGACUGAAGGAGGACAGGAAGAUGGCAGAAGAGCAACCCGCGAG